AAAAAACAUUAAUAAUGUAACUUUCUAACAGGAUGUGUGUCCUACCAAGAGCUGAAGGAGAGUCUAGGGUUGGUGUUCAAAGCUGUGAUGUCUGGGGAGGUUCGUCCUGAGAUACAUGUCCGCAACAUCACACAGGUUGGCAGUCUGUCACGUAAUUUGAUGCAAGGCCAUGAAGCAUUUCCUAACCUAUCAGGUCUUGUUCCCCUCCAAAUGCUUAUUGAGAUGGGAUGUGAGAAAAUAAAGAGAGACUAUAUUAGUAUCUUUCAAGUUCAUGAACUAGCUACUGGUGAGCAGCUAUCAUGGUUUGUGAACAACAGUGAGGCCUCGCCAGAGAUGAUAAUUGUACAGUUGGAAAGACUUCAUGUUGCCUUACAAGUUGUAGUGAGUCUUCGUACCUACCUUCGUCUGCCACCAGCAUCAUUAACGCAGUUCACAGCUCAGGUGCUGAAUCAACUAAGGGAAGAAGAGCCAAAAUCAGCAUACUCAUUCUCCUUCAGACUUGAAACAUUGACUGUUCAUCAGUUACUCAACAGCAUGAAGGUUGAUACUUGGGAGUUGAACCUCUGUAGCAGAAAAGGAAAUUUUACCAAGACACUUGUAUGCCAUAUCUCCCAUCAUCCCCUUAUCCAGAUUCCUUCCACUGAUUCUGCCUGUUGAAAAGUGGCUACGACGGCUUUUCAAGACCUCGCCUGCAGAGGCGGCUGUGUAGGCAAAAGCUGUAUCAAGAACUCGAGAUGAUGGAAAAUACGUGUGUAGAUGACAAGAGUGAAGACCGCUACUACUGUUGCUUCAUCAAUUCUGCCACAGAUAAACGCUUUCCAUAACAGAAUAUAAUUUAUGUUGGAAAAAAAUAUAUGAGUACCUUUGA